rnacentral:tRNA from 1 species
AAAAUAAAAUGCCUGAAAAAGGGGUAUCCUGAUAGGAUAAUUCAUGUAAAUUUAUACUUUUAUUAAUUUUA